AUUGACUAUCAAGUGAGAGAACUGAGAACAAAAGUGAUGAUAAACGAGAAAUGCGAAUUUUCCAUUUACGGUAUGUUCGCCUUCAACAAAACGUUUCUAGCUCAGAACUUCACAGCAAUCGUGGGCUAUAUUUUCACUGCCUUGCAAUUCCACAUAAUAUCAAUGCAAUUGUCAGGCAAUUAAAACCAAUGUGCAUUAGAUGGGUGAUUUAUAAAAUGCAAUCUGGCGUAAAAUUUUACUCCGAAAUUUGAAGUCUUUGAAAUUUCAAUUCUUGAUUCGAGAGUCCAGACGUAUUUAUAAAAUGUAUCACAAUUAAUCCUUAAUAUAUGAAGAACUGAU